UACGGGGGGUGCAAGCGUUGUCCGGAAUCAUUGGGCGUAAAGAGUUCGUAGGCGGCACGUAAAGUCUGGUGUUAAAGGCAGAGGCUCAACUUCUGUACGGCACUGGAUACUUGCGAGCUAGAAUGCGGUAGAGGUAAAGGGAAUUCCUGGUGUAGCGGUGAAAUGCUUAGAGAUCAUACAGAACACCGAUUGCGAAGGCAGCUUACCAAGCUACUUCUGACGUUGAGGCACGAAAGCGUGGGGAGCAAACAGG
rnacentral:rRNA from 1 species